rnacentral:misc_RNA from 1 species
AUUCAUUUGACUCGUCGAGAGUGAAACACAAAUGGAAGUGUCAUGUUAGAGCAGUAUCUCAGGUAGGAAUUAGCUUGCAAGAAGGUAACUCUUCUUCUCACUAUAAUUUGAUGAAUGGUGAUGAUGGGAAAAAUAGAAGGAAUGAUGGAUCCCCCAAAGAUAAAGAUGAUGCUGAAGCUGUGGUGGCUAGCCCAAAGCCAUCGGAAUCGCCCUGAUGACAAUUGUGUGGAAUUGCCAGAGGCUUGGGCAACCCAAGCCAUUCAAGCUCUUCGAGAGUGCAUCAGCAAACAUAGCCCCUCCAUUAUCUUCGUAAUGGAGACAAAGAACAAGAGGAAGAAGGUAGAUUUUUUGAGGUGUCGGUUGAGUUUUGAUGAUGCUUUUUAUGUGAAGCCGAUUAGUCUAGUUGAGUGUUUAGCACUUUGGUGGAACGCAGGAAUGGAUGUGACUAUUGGACUUUUUUCAGCAAGUUUUAUAGAUGCUUGGAUUAGGGAUUCUCAGAAGAAUCAAAUUUAGCAGAUGAGUUUUGUUUAUGGGUGUCCUAUUAAAGAAGGUAGAGCUAUAGUUUGGGAUCAAUUGAGAAGGAUAAAGCCUAUUUCUUUUACUCCAUGGAUUUGUAAUGGAGACUUUAAUGCUAUUUUAUUCCCUGAGGAGAAACUAGGAGGAGCAGCUUUUCGAUACUCUCAAAUAAAGGACUUCCAUGCUUUUGUGCAAGAUUGUGAGCUUCUCGAUUUGGAAUUUAAGGGACCAACAUUUACCUAGUUUAAUAAAUAGUAUGGGCAGAGGGCCAUUCAACAACGUCUAUACAAAGCAUUUGUGCCAAUAGAGUGGUGAGAACUAUUUCCCAGAGUUGUGCUUCUUCAUAGGGAUUUGGUAGGAUUUAAUCAUUGUCCUAUAGUUUUACUCACAAAGCAUCAAAUCCAAAGGCAAAAUUUUUUAUUUAAAUUCG